rnacentral:rRNA from 1 species
AGAUUAAGUUAUUAAGGGCGCACGGUGGAUGCCUUGGCACUAGAAGCCGAUGAAGGACGUUACUAACGACGAUAUGCUUUGGGGAGCUGUAAGUAAGCUGUGAUCCAGAGAUUUCCGAAUGGGGGAACCCAACACGAGUUAUGUCGUGUUAUCCGCAUGUGAAUACAUAGCAUGUGAGAAGGUAGACCCGGAGAACUGAAACAUCU